rnacentral:lncRNA from 1 species
GUCCUAUUAAAACCAAGUCACUAGUCCCACAUGUUCUUACAGGGAGGGAACUACAAGAGGGUGUGAGUACCCGGAGAUAGAGCCAUAUGGGCGGACCUCUUCCAGCUGACCUGAUGCAAUGCUGGAGCACAUCUAAGAUCAGGAUUCAUGUUAUCCUAACUUAAUGAUGGAAAAAUUGAAUUUGUCUUCCCUGGCAUCAAACACGGCAGUACAGAAAUGAGUGUGACCACUACUUCCU